CCUACGGGUGGCAGCAGUGAGGAAUAUUGGUCAAUGGGAGGAAUCCUGAACCAGCCAUGCCGCGUGCAGGACGACGGCCCUACGAGUUGUAAACUGCUUUUAUACCGGAGUAAAAUGCUCCACGAGUGGGGUUUUGAAAGUACGGUACGAAUAAGGAUCGGCUAACUCCGUGCCAGCAGCCGCGGUAAUACGGAGGAUCCGAGCGUUAUCCGGAUUUAUUGGGUUUAAAGGGAGCGUAGGUGGGUUUUUAAGUUAGCUGUGAAAUACCGAUGCUCAACAUCGGGGCUGCAGCUGAUACUGUCAGACUAGAGUACAGAUGAGGCAGGCGGAAUGUGUGGUGUAGCGGUGAAAUGCAUAGAUAUUACGAAGAACACCGAUUGCGAAGGCAGCUUGCUAGGCUGCAACUGACACUGAUGCACGAAAGCGUGGGGAUCGAACAGGAUUAGAUACCCUUGUAGUC
rnacentral:rRNA from 1 species